UUGAACGCUGGCGGCAUGCCUUACACAUGCAAGUCGAACGGCAGCACGGGUGCUUGCACCUGGUGGCGAGUGGCGAACGGGUGAGUAAUACAUCGGAACAUGUCCUGUAGUGGGGGAUAGCCCGGCGAAAGCCGGAUUAAUACCGCAUACGAUCUACGGAUGAAAGCGGGGGACCUUCGGGCCUCGCGCUAUAGGGUUGGCCGAUGGCUGAUUAGCUAGUUGGUGGGGUAAAGGCCUACCAAGGCGACGAUCAGUAGCUGGUCUGAGAGGACGACCAGCCACACUGGGACCGAGACACGGCCCAGACUCCUACGGGAGGCAGCAGUGGGGAAUUUUGGACAAUGGGCGAAAGCCUGAUCCAGCAAUGCCGCGUGUGUGAAGAAGGCCUUCGGGUUGUAAAGCACUUUUGUCCGGAAAGAAAUCCUUGGCCCUAAUACGGUCGGGGGAUGACGGUACCGGAAGAAUAAGCACCGGCUAACUACGUG
rnacentral:rRNA from 1 species